UACGAAGGGUGCAAACGUUGCUCGGAAUUAUUGGGCGUAAAGCGCACGUAGGCGGCUUUGCAAGUCCCAUGUGAAAUCCCACGGCUCAACCGUGGAAGUGCAUGGGAAACUGCAGAGCUUGAGUACUUAAGAGGAUCGCGGAAUUCCCAGUGUAGAGGUGAAAUUCGUAGAUAUCGGGAGGAACACCAGUGGCGAAGGCGGCGAUCUGGGAAGAUACUGACGCUGAGGUGCGAAAGCGUGGGGAGCAAACAGG
rnacentral:rRNA from 1 species